AUCGAACGCUGGCGGCAGGCCUAACACAUGCAAGUCGAGCGAGCGGCGGACGGGUGAGUAAUGUCUGGGAAACUGCCUGAUGGAGGGGGAUAACUACUGGAAACGGUAGCUAAUACCGCAUACCAUCAGAUGUGCCCAGAUGGGAUUAGCUAGUAGGUGGGGUAAUGGCUUACCUAGGCGACGAUACCUAGCUGGUCUGAGAGGAUGACCAGCGAGACGGUAACUGGGACACGGUCCAGAGUCCUACGGUAGGCAGCAGUGGGGAAGAGUGCACAAUGGGCGCAAGCCUGAUGCAGCCAUGCCGCGUGUGUGAAAAAGGCCUGCGGGUUGUAAAGCACUUUCAGCGGGGAGGCGGUACCCGCAGAAGAAGCACCGGCUAACUCCGUGCCAGCAGCCGCGGUAAUUC
rnacentral:rRNA from 1 species